UCAACCAUCAAGCUGGGCUUGUCGUUGGACCUGCAAACGCCGGCGAGUGGCGUUGGCUGGCCUUCAAGAAAGUGGCGGUGUCGUGCUGGACCCCGGAUACAGCGAGCUUACUAUGGCACGUAUCCAGGUGGUCUGGUGGCUCUGCCUUGACCAAAACUUUUACAUCCAGA
rnacentral:misc_RNA from 1 species